rnacentral:rRNA from 1 species
UCCGAAUACCAUCGAUCUUACUCCGGGAGUCAGACAGUGAGCGAUAAGGUCCAUUGUCGAAAGGGGAACAGCCCAGAUCACCAGUUAAGGUCCCUAAAUUUAUGCUAAGUGGAAAAGGAUGUGGCGUUGCACAGACAACUAGGAUGUUGGCUCAGAAGCAGCCACCCUUUAAAGAGUGCGUAAUAGCUCACUAGUCGAGUGCUCUUGCGCGGAUAAUGUACCGGGGCUAAGCAUAUUACCGAAACUGUGGAUGCGUAAGCAUGGUAGGAUAGCGUAAUUAACGCGAUGAAGGAUGACCGUAAGGACAUGUUGGAGCGUUAACUAGUGAGAAUUCCGGUAUGAGUAGCGAAAGAUAGGUGAGAAUCCUAUCCACCGAAUGAGUAAGGUUUCCCCCGGAAGGCUCGUCCGCGGGGGGUUAGUCGGGACCUAAGGCGAGGCUGAAAAGCGUAGUCGAUGGACAACAGGUUGAUAUUCCUGUACCGAUAUUUAAUUGCCGAAGGAAGGACGCAGAAGGAUAACAC